AAAAUAAAAAUGGUCGCAAAAGGAAAUUAAUCAUUGCCUGUUUAUUUAAGAGAAUUGCUUAGGUCGCCCAAGAAUCAUAAUUAGAUCAGUCAAUUUCAUCGCGUCCGCCUCUGCUUUUCUCCCAUUUGCCAUGGGUUUGAGUGGCGUUCCCGUCUUUUAUUAUAAUCAUCACACUGUUUCCUUUUCCUGGUGGUGUCUGCACUGUGCCACGAGACCAUUUGUUUUCGAUGGUACAGUGUGGGUUAAUUUAAAAUCACCAACUGGCCCAUUUAGUCGAUUAUGGCACCAGCAAAAAUUAUUUGGACUGAAAAUAAAAUAUUUUAUGGGUAAUGCGCGUUUAUAGUUUUUUCUCUUUGUUUUUUUUUAACGUUGUCACAUUAUCACAGUCAGCAAUUGCUUUCUCAUUUAUUUCCACUUUAAGCGAUUUUUUGUCAAUAUUUUUUUGUUAAUUUAAUGAAUUUGGUGGCUGAUUUCGGUAGCGGAUUUUAUUUAAUGUGAAGCUCGAGUCUUGUUAUAAGUACAUACUUUUCUUUAUCAGAAAUUUUUAUCACAUGUUUUGCUUCCACUUUCAAGGGUCGCCCAACACGAAUGCAAAGAUGGCAUUAAACAGUCGUCAAAUGUGCUAACCAUUGCAAUUUCCACUUGGAGUUAUGAAUUUUGAGAGCUCAAAAGCUGGUGUCUGUGUUGGAUUGGUUUACGGUCUGGUUGCAGUCGGCCUGCGGGAUUCGGAGGAUUUCAAAGGCGUUCUUCGUCUGGUUCUUCAGAAAUUAUUUUUUAACUGUCAAUAAUUAUUAAAUGUUGUUAUAUUUGUUUAUGUUAUGUUUAUUUGUAUAUUGAUUGAUUAUGUUUUUUUUAAUAAACGCUAAAGAAA